rnacentral:rRNA from 1 species
AUUUCCGGUUGAUCCUGCCGGAAAUCGAGCCGCGCCUCUUUUCCUUUAACAAUCCGCAUGGUGCGUGCCCGGGCUGCGAUGGCCUCGGCGUAAAGAUGCAUUUCGACGAAGGACUGGUUGUCCCCGAUCCUUCAAAAACGCUAGAGGAAGGCGCGAUUGCGCCGUGGGCUGGCAGCUUCUCGUUCUAUUACAAGCAGGCACUCGAGGCCGUUUCCAAAUAUUACGGCGCUGAUAUGGAGACACCGUUCAAACGCCUUCCAAAAAAAGUCCAGCAGGCGCUGCUUUACGGCUCGGGCGAGGAUUG